GUGGUUGUGGCUCAGUGCUAGAGUGCUUGCCUAACAUGUUUGAGGCACUGGGUUCGAGGCUCAGCACCACA
rnacentral:tRNA from 1 species